GGUAUUGAAAUAAGAUUUUAAAUGAGUGCUAAGAGAAUGAUUAAACAAUUAAAAGCUUUCUUUAAUUAAAAAAUUAAAUUUAAUUUUUUUAGUGCAAAAGCAAAAAUAAAAUUUAGGGACAAGAAGACCCUAUGAAUUUUUAUUGUUAAUAAUUAAAAUUUAAAUUAUUAAUAAUUUAAUUGGGGCGAUAAAAAAAGAAUAAGUAUCUUUUUAGUUAUAAAAUAAGUUCCGUUUUUAGCGAUUAAAUGAAAUAAAUACUCUAGGGAUAACAGCGUAAUAAUUUUGGAUAGUUCAUAUAGAUAAAAUAGUUUGCGACCUCGAUGUUGGAUUAGGAUUCUUUUUUGGUGAAGAA
rnacentral:rRNA from 1 species